AUGACGGGGAGAAUCCGGUUCACCCACGCGGAGGUCGCCAAGAUGUUGGAGGUCCUCCGUGACCUCAACGCCAUGCCCAAGCGUCCCAUCAUCCAGGGACUCACCGACGACUUGAACGCCUCCCCGGACCGCUCCGGCGACGGCCAGGUCCCCGUCCAGUACAGUCAGGUGCACACCUGGUUCCAGAACCGGAGGUACACGCAGAAACGGAGGGGUGAGCGGCCGCCGGCACAAGGGAAGAUGCUGCCCACGGGGGCUGAGGCACAGCACCCAGCUUCCUACAGGGUUCAGUCCUCUUGCCCUUCCAACUCCGAAUCACAGUCAGGGAAUGCCUCUUCGGAUUGUGGCCUGGUCCAGCUUGAAGCAAAGUCACCAACAAAUGGUGCAUGGUUCGAUGUUGCUGCCAUCCUGUCCUACAGAUUUUCUGAAACUGGGGACCAGGAAAUACAAGUUUGGUUUUCUGGAUUUGGGGCUGAGGAGGAAGAAUGGAUUAAUGUUUGUAAAUCUGUGAGACUGCGUUCUCUCCCAUGUAUAGACACAGAAUGUGUUGGUGUGCUUCCUGGGGAUCUUAUUCUUUGUUAUCAGGUAAGAAAAGAGCAGGCCCUCUAUUUUGAUGCUCAUGUUCUUGAAGUAGAAAGGCGCACACAUGAUUUAAGGGGUUGCCGCUGCAGUUUUCUUGUUCGUUAUGAUCAUGAUCACUCCGAGGAGAUGGUUCCACUGAGGAAAGUAUGUCGUCGACCAUCUGCUGAUGUUAAGAUUGAUAUUGUAAUUGAUGAUAGCCUAGCUGAGCCGAAAGCUCAAAAGUCACACAAGAGGAUGGAUACGAACCCUGAUGAGGUCACCGUGGUUCCUGGCCCACCAAAUCAAGGAGGGCGAUCCGACAAGCUGGCUGCUCCCUUACUUAUCACGCCUGAUAGCACCCACAGAGAUUCAGUAGCAGAUGAGCAGAUGGGGGAUAUCGAGGCUGCUCCAAAAGGUGAAGCUACAAGCAAAGCACAUGGUGACAAGAUGAACGUCGGAGCGUAG
rnacentral:rRNA from 1 species